rnacentral:tRNA from 1 species
GGGUAGGGUGGCCGAGUAGGCGGCAGGCUGUAGUCCUGUUUACGCGGGCAGGCCCCCCCAACCA